AGUGAACGCUGGCGGUAGGCCUAACACAUGCAAGUCGAACGGCAGCACAGUAAGAGCUUGCUCUUACGGGUGGCGAGUGGCGGACGGGUGAGGAAUACAUCGGAAUCUACUUUUUCGUGGGGGAUAACGUAGGGAAACUUACGCUAAUACCGCAUACGACCUACGGGUGAAAGCAGGGGAUCUUCGGACCUUGCGCGAUUGAAUGAGCCGAUGUCGGAUUAGCUAGUUGGCGGGGUAAAGGCCCACCAAGGCGACGAUCCGUAGCUGGUCUGAGAGGAUGAUCCGCCCCACUGGAUCUGCGCCCCGGCCCCGCCCCCUACGGGGGGCGGCAGGGGGGAUUUUUGGACAAUGGGCGCAGCCCUCCUCCCGCCAUCCCGCGUGGGUGAAGAAGGCCUUCGGGUUGUAAAGCCCUUUUUUGGGGAAAAAAAAGCAGCAGGUUAAUACCCCGCUGUUCUGGCGGUACCAAAAAAAAAACCCCCGCCAACUUCGUG
rnacentral:rRNA from 1 species